rnacentral:rRNA from 1 species
UAGCCUUGACAUAUUAUAGAAUUCAGUAGAGAUACAGAAGUGCCUUCGGGAGCUAUAUUACAGGUGCUGCACGGCUGUCGUCAGCUCGUGUCGUGAGAUGUUGGGUUAAGUCCCGCAACGAGCGCAACCCUCGUCACUAGUUACUAACGGUUAGGCCGAGGACUCUAGUGAGACUGCCUUCGUAAGGAGGAGGAAGGUGAGGACGACGUCAAGUCAUCAUGGCCCUUACGGCUAGGGCAACACACGUGCUACAAUGGUUAGGACAAUGAGAAGCAAUAUCGCGAGGUGGAGCAAAUCUAUAAACCUAAUCUCAGUUCGGAUUGUAGUCUGCAACUCGACUACAUGAAGCUGGAAUCACUAGUAAUCGUAGAUCAGCUAUGCUACGGUGAAUACGUUCCCGGGUCU